rnacentral:rRNA from 1 species
CCUACGGGAGGCAGCAGUGAGGAAUAUUGGUCAAUGGGCGGAAGCCUGAACCAGCCAAGUAGCGUGCAGGAUGAAGGCACUACGGGUUGUAAACUGCUUUUAUACGGGAAUAACGCGCCUUACGUGUAGGGCGUUGCAUGUACCGUAUGAAUAAGGACCGGCUAAUUCCGUGCCAGCAGCCGCGGUAAUACGGAAGGUCCGGGCGUUAUCCGGAUUUAUUGGGUUGAAAGGGAGCGUAGGCCGCAUGUCAAGCGUGCUGUGAAAUGUCCGGGCUCAACCCGGGCCUUGUAGGGCGAACUGGCGUGCUUGGUUCGGCGGAAGGCAGGCGGAAUUCGUGGUGUAGCGGUGAAAUGCUUAGAUAUGACGAAGAACCCCGAUUGCGAGGGCAGCUUGCUGCAGCGGAACUGACGCUGAUGCUCGAAAGCGCGGGUAUCGAACAGGAUUAGAUACCCCUGUAGUC